UACGUAGGCAGCGAGCGUUGUCCGGAAUUAUUGGGCGUAAAGAGCUCGUAGGCGGUCUGUCGCGUCUGCUGUGAAAUCCCGAGGCUCAACCUCGGGCUUGCAGUGGGUACGGGCAGGCUAGAGUGCGGUAGGGGAGAAUGGAACUCCUGGUGUAGCGGUGGAAUGCGCAGAUAUCAGGAAGAACACCGAUGGCGAAGGCAGUUCUCUGGGCCGUAACUGACGCUGAGGAGCGAAAGCGUGGGGAGCGAACAGG
rnacentral:rRNA from 1 species